CGAGGGGGACAAGGUGAUCGCGGCGGCGCCGGGCCUACGGGCUCGGUCGGACCGUCGAGGAAAGUCCGGGCUCCACAGGGCAGGGUGCUGGCGCAGGCCAGUCAGGGUGACCUGAAGGAAAGUGCCACAGAAAGCAAACCGCCUGCGUUCGCGCAGGUAAGGGUGAAAGGGUGUGGUAAGAGCGCACCGGGCCGCUGGCGACAGGGGUCGCACGGUAAACCCCACCCGGAGCAAGGCCGAGCAGGGACGCGCGAGAUCCACGGGUCGAGCGAGGGGUGGCCCGCCCCGUCUCGGGUAGUGCCGCACAGAGGAAUGAUCACCCCCCGGCCAGAGCAAUCGAACCGGGGACAGAACCCGGCUUACGACCCCACUCGACCG
rnacentral:RNase_P_RNA from 1 species